rnacentral:misc_RNA from 1 species
CGCACCUUGCGCCCCAUGGUAUUCCGUGGGGCACGCCUGUUUGAGUGUCACGUUCAUCCUCGCACUAAAGACUUUAUUGACUUUAGAGGCGGAUUUGGAGGUCUGCCGUUCAUUCGGCUCCUCUCGAAAUACAUUAGCUGUCUAAAGACUGUGUGUGGGUGUGAUAAUUUUUGUUACGCCGUGUGCAUAUAGUCUGGUGAAGGCUCAUAAAAAACCCAAUACUUUUUGUGACUUUGGCCUCAAAUCAGGUGGGACUACCCGCUGAACUUAA